AGAUUGAACGCUGGCGGCAUGCCUUACACAUGCAAGUCGAACGGCAGCACGGGAGCAAUCCUGGUGGCGAGUGGCGAACGGGUGAGUAAUAUAUCGGAACGUGCCCAGUCGUGGGGGAUAACGCAGCGAAAGCUGUGCUAAUACCGCAUACGAUCUAUGGAUGAAAGCGGGGGAUCGCAAGACCUCGCGCGAUUGGAGCGGCCGAUAUCAGAUUAGCUAGUUGGUGGGGUAAAAGCCUACCAAGGCGACGAUCUGUAGCUGGUCUGAGAGGACGACCAGCCACACUGGAACUGAGACACGGUCCAGACUCCUACGGGAGGCAGCAGUGGGGAAUUUUGGACAAUGGGCGCAAGCCUGAUCCAGCAAUGCCGCGUGCAGGAUGAAGGCCUUCGGUUGUAAACUGCUUUGUACGAACGAAACGUUCUCUCUAAUACAGGGGCUAAGUGACGGUAACCGUAAGAAUAAGACACCGGCUAACUACGU
rnacentral:rRNA from 1 species